GGCUGCGCGGUGGGCCCUGGGUUUGGACUCGAAGUCGCGGAGCUUUCUUCCUGGAUCCUAACACUGGUUGGUUGCUCUUUAAAACAGGAAAGCCUUUUCUGUCGCGACCGCGUGCCGCAGCCUCCAUUUUCCUUUCGCUUAUUUUUGUAGACGAGUGACUUCAGGGUCCAUGAAGAGCCUUCGCCCAAGGUGCAGCUCUGGGGAAGGAGCUAGAUGGAAAAGAGUGCAGAGGAAAUAAUGCUCUAAGUUUGUCCGCGCUUGAGUCCCUCAGCCUCCAAAGCCAAAAAAACCACGCCGCAUACUUUGGGUUUAUUUUUAAGAUGUUUGCCAAAUGUGCAGUUAACUGGAGGAGCUGACUCUCUGAAUUAGGUCUUGAGUCCAGACUGGAAGUGUUUUUUUAAGCUUAUUUUUUAAAUUAUUGGUGGAUACAAUAUGCUUACUUCUACGUGUUGCUGAGGAUCGAACCCAGUGCCUCACACGCUAUGCAAGCACUCGACCUCUGAGCCACAACCCCAACCCUGGGAGUAUGUUUUUAUACUGCGAUGUGAUUUCUGCAAUAAAAGGGUGGGAAAAUGAAUAUUCCAAGGGGAAUUGAGUGAAAAAAAAUGUUACCCAAAGCUUGGUCUUCAGUAUCUGAUAAAGUAACAUCUCAUACACCUGUUGAUUAAUCCACUAUCUCUAAGAAAAUGCCUCAGAGCUUGUGAGAGUUAGUGCUCAGUUCUGAACCAAUGCAUAUUGUUUGUGAACAAAGUUUGAUUUUAAAAUUUUAACUAUUUGCUGAAGACUGCGGAGUACAGACCCACUACAAGUAUAUUUUGGAGAAGUACAGUAGAUAAGGAAGGAGAGAAAAAGAUGAAAAGAACCAUGUGCUGUAAGUAGUAUAAGGGUCCGGGAAAUGUCGGAGGAAGAGGCGCCUUACUUACCCCCUAAAGGAGUCCGUUGGGGGUCUCCUUGUCUGGAGAUGCGCGAUUCCGGCCAAUGCACCAAACGUAAGGGUCCGGUGAAACGUCGGAGGAAGAGACCACCAAGAGACUGACUCAUGCAAUUGCAGAAGGGGAUUUAUUGAGGAUCCAUUCCAGUGCGCUGGGGCUCUGUGCCCACUCA